rnacentral:rRNA from 1 species
UACAGAGGGUGCAAGCGUUAAUCGGAAUUACUGGGCGUAAAGCGUGCGUAGUCGGUUAUUUAAGUCGGGUGUGAAAGCCCCGGGCUCAACCUGGGAAUUGCAUUCGAUACUGGAUAGCUAGAGUUCGGCAGAGGGAAGCAGAAUUUCCGGUGUAGCGGUGAAAUGCGUAGAUAUCGGAAGGAACAUCAGUGGCGAAAGCGGCUUCCUGGACCAGAACUGACGAUCAGGCACGAAAGCGUGGGGAGCAAACAGG